rnacentral:rRNA from 1 species
AGGAACACCAGUGGCGAAGGCGACCACCUGGACUGAUACUGACACUGAGGUGCGAAAGCGUGGGUAGCAAACAGGAUUAGAUACCCUGGUAGUCCACGCCGUAAACGAUGUCAACUAGCCGUUGGGUCCCUUGAGGACUUAGUGGCGCAGCUAACGCAAUAAGUUGACCGCCUGGGGAGUACGGCCGCAAGGUUAAAACUCAAAUGAAUUGACGGGGGCCCGCACAAGCGGCGGAGCAUGUGGAUUAAUUCGAUGCAACGCGAAGAACCUUACCUGGGCUUGACAUACACCG